rnacentral:rRNA from 1 species
AACGAACGCUGGCGGCAGGCCUAACACAUGCAAGUCGAGCGAGCAUUUCGGUGCUAGCGGCGGACGGGUGAGUAACGCGUGGGAACGUGCCCUUUUCUGCGGAAUAGUCCUGGGAAACUGGGGGUAAUACCGCAUACGCCCUUUUGGGGAAAGAUUUAUCGGAGAAGGAUCGGCCCGCGUUGGAUUAGGUAGUUGGUGGGGUAAUGGCCCACCAAGCCGACGAUCCAUAGCUGGUUUGAGAGGAUGAUCAGCCACACUGGGACUGAGACACGGCCCAGACUCCUACGGGAGGCAGUAGUGGGGAAUCUUAGACAAUGGGGGCAACCCUGAUCUAGCCAUGCCGCGUGAGUGAUGAAGGCCUUAGGGUUGUAAAGCUCUUUCAGCUGGGAAGAUAAUGACGGUACCAGCAGAAGAAGCCCCGGCUAACUCCGUG